rnacentral:lncRNA from 1 species
GAAUGAUUUUGGAUCAAAUUAAAAUUUAAAUGAUCAGCUAGAAAUCUUUACAGAGUAUUUAUUUCUGUCUGUAUGUGGUCUGUUCAGGUGGCUAGGCCUGUGGGUCAGAGUCAUCAGAUUUAUCUUUAUUCUGUAGAUGUAGAAGUGCUCCUUUUUUUGACUUUCUCUGUCUCACUCUGAGAUCAAAACGUUGUAUCAUAAAUGAACAAUCUCAGAGCUAGGGAGACUAGAUGUAUUGUGUGCUGGGAUGAUAAAAGUGAAGAUACUUGGGUAGAAAUUCUCCCAAAGCAUCAUUGCCCUUUCUUUAUGCACAACAUACAACAGAGAGUAGUCAAGGGAAGAAAAGACCAGCCCACAAUAAGGCAAGGAAUAUAAGAGAAAAAGCUUGAGAAAGCAAGAGAGAAAGUCUUGGGCACUGCAAAGAAGAGGCUAGCCACACCUCGUUACUUAUACAGAACUGCACUUUUUUUCUUUGCAGUACCCCCUCUUGUCAGUGCUUCAAGUUUAUCUCAUCUUUUUCUUGGCCCCUUUGACUCCACUAAGUCAUCCAAAGAUGAUCACUGCCAUAGUUCAUCUCAUUGCCGUUUUUAAUGCCUUUAUUUCCUCUUGUACUUCCUGAAUGUUUCCCAAGAUGACAAGUUGCUUACCUGGGUGUCAGAUAUGCGUCACUACUUGCAAGCUCUUCCCACCUAUUUCUGUUCUUUCUUCGUCUGGACUUCAUGGGAGAUAGAUCUACUGGUUCUCUUGAACAAGUCUAAUGCCAUCUUUGCAUCAACAUCUCAGAGGACCUAAACUGGCCCAUGUGGUAAAUACGCCUUCCCAAGUGAAAAGUGUGCCAAAUAAUAUCAUAAUGAGCAUACUCAGUGUCUGAAAUCAGCCUGCAGAGGUUGGAAAGAGAAAGGCUGAAAAGAAACAAAGAUUAACACAAAGACUAAAACCUCUUAGUCCCUCAAGCAAUGUUUAUAUUCUUGGGAACAUGUGGGAAAAUGGAUAAGUGGCGUCCUUGGAGUUUGCUUUUAAAACUCACUGGAUGUUUCCAAGUGCAAUCACAAAACUUAAUGGAGAUCAGAGGGCCCCUUUACUUGGAAGAAGAAUUUGAACCCCCUUGGUUUGGAAGUAUAUAUCCAAAGGUAUUGAAAGCAGGGACCUGA